GAACUGGUGAGUAACACGUGGGAAACCUGCCCAGAAGCGGGGGAUAACACCUGGAAACAGAUGCUAAUACCGCAUAACAACUUGGACCGCAUGGUCCGAGUUUGAAAGAUGGCUUCGGCUAUCACUUUUGGAUGGUCCCGCGGCGUAUUAGCUAGAUGGUGRGGUAACGGCUCACCAUGGCAAUGAUACGUAGCCGACCUGAGAGGGUAAUCGGCCACAUUGGGACUGAGACACGGCCCAAACUCCUACGGGAGGCAGCAGUAGGGAAUCUUCCACAAUGGACGAAAGUCUGAUGGAGCAACGCCGCGUGAGUGAAGAAGGGUUUCGGCUCGUAAAACUCUGUUGUUAAAGAAGAACAUAUCUGAGAGUAACUGUUCAGGUAUUGACGGUAUUUAACCAGAAAGCCACGGCUAACUACGUGCCAGCAGCCGCGGUAAUACGUAGGUGGCAAGCGUUGUCCGGAUUUAUUGGGCGUAAAGCGAGCGCAGGCGGUUUUUUAAGUCUGAUGUGAAAGCCUUCGGCUCAACCGAAGAAGUGCAUCGGAAACUGGGAAACUUGAGUGCAGAAGAGGACAGUGGAACUCCAUGUGUAGCGGUGAAAUGCGUAGAUAUAUGGAAGAACACCAGUGGCGAAGGCGGCUGUCUGGUCUGUAACUGACGCUGAGGCUCGAAAGUAUGGGUAGCAAACAGGAUUAGAUACCCUGGUAGUCCAUACCGUAAACGAUGAAUGCUAAGUGUUGGAGGGUUUCCGCCCUUCAGUGCUGCAGCUAACGCAUUAAGCAUUCCGCCUGGGGAGUACGGCCGCAAGGCUGAAACUCAAAGGAAUUGACGGGGGCCCGCACAAGCGGUGGAGCAUGUGGUUUAAUUCGAAGCUACGCGAAGAACCUUACCAGGUCUUGACAUACUAUGCAAAUCUAAGAGAUUAGACGUUCCCUUCGGGGACAUGGAUACAGGUGGUGCAUGGUUGUCGUCAGCUCGUGUCGUGAGAUGUUGGGUUAAGUCCCGCAACGAGCGCAACCCUUAUUAUCAGUUGCCAGCAUUAAGUUGGGCACUCUGGUGAGACUGCCGGUGACAAACCGGAGGAAGGUGGGGAUGACGUCAAAUCAUCAUGCCCCUUAUGACCUGGGCUACACACGUGCUACAAUGGAUGGUACAACGAGUUGCGAACUCGCGAGAGUAAGCUAAUCUCUUAAAGCCAUUCUCAGUUCGGAUUGUAGGCUGCAACUCGCCUACAUGAAGUCGGAAUCGCUAGUAAUCGCGGAUCA
rnacentral:rRNA from 1 species